UUUUUUUUUUUUUAAAUGUUAUAUGGAGCAUGUGUGUAAUGCAAACUAUUUUGAACUCCCAGAUGAGUCAAUGAAAGCAAGGUGUUUUAGAAAUCCAUCAGUUAAAAAAACAAAAAACCUUGCUGAAAGAUCUAAAAGUAAUCAUUACAAGGUAAAUUGAGCUUUAAAAAUCUGAUAGUUCAAUUAAUGGAACACUAUAGCCUUCGGAAUACAAAACUGUAUGCCCCUGUCCCUAAUAGUUUAGGUUCCUCCCAGCACAUGAAAGGGUUAAAAUCCUUUUAACACUCAACUUAGCAACUUAAUUCCAGCGCUGAGUUCCCUCAAUUCAGAAGUGCUCUACUCCUACUGCAAC